rnacentral:lncRNA from 10 species
AACAACAACUGCCCCGGUGCUUCCCCGUAGAUAGCACCGCUGUUGUUUCAGGAACACAGUCAUCCCUCAGAAAUGGAUUGGGUGACAAGUGGUCUGCAUGCUGCACACGGGCACUGGGCGCAGAUCAGCGGACAGGCGCGUAACAGGAGGUGCUAAGUGCGCAGGUGGGGUCACGUGCCGCGUCACAGCAGUGCUGGAGGAGAGUCCUGACUCAUGGCCUGGGAUGCUGGGGUUCCUCCCCAGAGAAGCUCUUUUGGACCUGGGAGAAGGAGUAGGACUUUGAUACACCAUGGAGGUCUCUGAAUGUAACCAAAUUGUUCUCCUCUUAUCAUUCCCAUUCACUGGUGUACUUGUUUGUGGAGCCUGCAGAACUGCCUUUUUCAAGAAUGCUUGGCCUCUAAAUCUGCUUCCCACUGAUGGGAAGAGCUGACAGAAGCUUUAGAGAGGCACAGGGUGAGUUCCUAAAACCAGAGUCAACACACACUCUUCAUCUGUUUUGUGCUUCACUCCCUGCUCAUCUUCCUAAAACACUGAGUUUGGUCAUAUCAUGUCCUACAAGUUGUCAAU